AAGGGCUCUUUAUUCACCCUUCUUAAGGACUGUGGACUGUUGCUGCCCCCUUGUGGAAAGACUGAGUAUGUUUAGAAUGUUCCAGAAAGUCUACCAUACGUGUGUCAGUCGGUAAUAGUCUGCAGAGCAUGGAGCACAUGAGAAACGUCCUCCUUUUCUAGCGGUGUUAUUAAUUGUGUGCGUGCAUCUAAAUGUAAGUUUCUUCGUUCCUUAAUCAUAUUUAUCAUGUUGUUUAAGGGUUAUCACCGUGAGAUGUUUACUUUGAUUAUUUAAUUACUUUGUCCUGUAAAGUCACCCUAAGAGCCAGUUUUAUACUACCUAAAUGCAUGAUUAACAUCUGUAUAUAGUUUAUUCUUAUUGUUUACAUCAAGCGGAAGCAUAUUUGCCUUUCAUUGAGUUUAGUUUAAGGUUAUUAGACGAUUUAACGAGGUUGCCGUGUAGGCUAAGAAAUGCAUAGUCAUGCUAACGCACGUGAUAUACUGCGUGACGUCAGAAUUGCAAGCGGUCGUGGGUUCGAUCCCCGGUUGGACCAAAGUUGAGAAAGUGCUAUAAUAAGCUAUAUAAAGUGAAGAAUAGUACUUCUAAAUAUUAUCUAAUGUCUUUCUACCUAUUGUUACUGCUCAUUUAUUUAUUGUUUAAACUAAUGUUUACCAAAUGUUUAUUGUAUUUGUAUACUGUGGUUGAAUGUUAAUUAUUCUUUGUUUCUACUUGUCUGUAGAACCACACACACACACACCCUCACCCCAACUAUAUGUCUGCUUAUACUAAUGGAAAUAAACCCAAGUGAGACAACAAGCAUCUUCGUCGCGUUUUGAUCAGACGUACCACAGUGAUUAAUUCAACUUAACCACACUAUCAGCUACAGUACAUUGGUCCUUCGAGCCGGAGUCAGUAAUUGCUGUGGAUUUAGAAGAUGUUUCCAGAACAGAGGAUCAGAGAAGGACAAAGGAGUGAUGUGCGUCCUAAACGUCGAAUACAACAUCCAGCCUGGUUAGAGGAUUAUGAGGUUUCUCUUCCUCAAUAUAACCAACAAUCUCCAGCUGCUCAUACAUUGCCUCAUCAAAACCCACAGGAGCCUUACACUGAAAGGGUAGCCGAGAUGACCCCUCUCAUUUAUCAGCCACAAAGCGAUUAUGCUUUAAGGGCAGACCAGAGAGUCAUUAACCACUCAUUACAUAUGAGGCCAAGAUAUGAGAGCACACCUGUAUCUCAGCCUGUCACACAGGAAGAUGUAUCGGAGAUUUUGAGAACAGUUCAGGAGCUUAGACAAGAAAAUCAACAGCUUCAGUUUGUCAUGCAAGAUAUGCAACAGAAAAUGAGCUUAAAUAGAGCCCCUCCCCUUCAACAAAGAGCAGAGCCCUUGCCAUAUGACAGAACCCAGUCAAAGGCAAGUCCAGCCCCAUUACAUGUUAAUGAUGAAUGGCCACUACCACCUCCACCUGUAGUAGAUGAUGGGUUUCUCCCUUUGGCUGGGGAUAUACCACCCCCACUUCCGAGACCCAUGUCUAAUUUUGUGGAUGAGUUAACAUCUCGACUCAGGAACUUACAAACAAAAGAUCAUCAUCUCUCAUGCCCAUCAACCCCAGAGUACUGUGAACCUGAGAGUUUCUCUAUGGCAUUACCUCCACAACAGAGGACACGUGAAUACCCAAUGUCUAAGUACCCUCAAACAGCACCUAUCAGCAGUAAGCCAUUCUGUAUGGACCAUGAACUGCACCCUUAUUACCCUCAACAAGAAAGGAUGUACAGAGGCCCAAAGCCCACAAUCCCUGACUUUACUAAAGGAGACCCACGGGAAUUUGCACGACUGAAAGUCUCAUUGGACAAUCUUUUACCCGAGGAUUCUACGGAAAGGUUUAAAUAUCAAAUACUCCUAGAACACUUGAAGUUUGAGGAUGCUCUUCUCAUUGCAGACUCCUACAUCAAUUCCAGUAGACCGUAUUCAGAUACCAUGGCCUCUCUCGCAGAACAAUAUGGGCAGCCCCACCAGCUAGCUUUGAGGCGAAUUGCUGACUUAAUGGAAGAUCCUACCAUACGUAGUCAAGAUGCUAGUGGAUUCAAGAGGUUUGCAUUGAAAGUAAGAGCUCUAGUAGGCAUGCUGAAUCAAUUGGGAGAUAGUGGCAGAAUUGAGCUUCAGUGUGGCUCACAUGUAACACGGCUGUUGUCCAAGUUGCCCCAUGACUUACGAGCAGAUUUCAAACGGUAUGUGUACCCCCUAAAUGUUCGCAUCCCCACUCUGUUACACUUUGCAGACUGGCUUGAAUAUGAGCUAAAAAUACAGGCGAGUGGAUUUGAGUUUCUUGGUGGAGACCGAAGGGAACGUCCUGACCAGAGGAGAGACAGGAGUAAAGACUUUAAGUCCACAAAGACAGUAGCUGUAUUUCAUAGCACAGACCCUGCUUUAAAUACUACAGCUCCAGGAGAGUCCAGUUUGAGUGCUGCUAAAACUCAGGACAAACCAAGAAUAUUUUGCCCCUACUGCACAAAUACCCAGCAUUAUUUGAAUCAGUGUCAAAACUUCAGCCAGCUCACCAAAGAACAAAAAACAAACUGGGUGAAAACCAAUAAGAGAUGCUGGCGUUGUGGUCGAGCUCAUCAGGCAGCACAGUGCAAUUUAAAGACAAGCUGUAAGGUCUGUAAAGGCAAACAUCUCGAUGCACUUCAUGAGCUGAAUGAAAGGCCAGUUUCUGAGAACACUUGUCUUGUCAACAACGCCAAUGAAGUUCUAUACCUGGACAGACCAUUAGGCUGCAGUCAAGUACUGCUAAAGGUUACAAAGGUAAUUCUUCGGAAUGGGGAACAUACCCUCGAGACAUAUGCCAUUUUGGAUGAUGGCUCAGAACGCACAAUCCUUCUGCCAGCGGCCGCCCAGGAACUGAAGUUACAAGGCAAACCAGAAAACCUUGCUCUGAGAACUGUCAGACAGGACAUGAAAAUCAUACAUGGUACUACAGUCUCCUUUACCAUCUCCCCUGCCUGCCAGCCUCACAAAGUCUUUAAGAUACAUAGAGCAUUUACUGCAGACCAUUUGGGGCUCGCUGAACACACAUGCCCAGCUACCACCUUACAGCAUAAAUACAGACACCUCAGGGGACUGCCAAUCCUAUCCCUUAACAGUGUUCAGCCCCUCCUUCUAAUUGGUUCUGACUAUCCCUACCUAAUUACUCCAAUCGAGCCUGUACGCCUGGGGCCUCCGGGCGGACCCGCAGCAGUGAAAACACGACUAGGCUGGACAGUCCAGGGGCCUACUAAGCUUGUGCGGCAUCAGCUUUUGACCCAGCAGUGUCUCAAUAUAUCCAUCUGUAGCCCUUCUGAUGAGCUGUUCAGACACAUUGAGAAACUCUGGCAACUAGAUGUACUGCCCUACAGAAGUGAGAAACUUGCGACCAGAUCUAAGCAAGAUCAAGAAGCUGUCGACCUGUUAGAGGCAAAGACAACUAGAAUUGAUGUCAAUGGGACACAACGAUAUGCCACACCUCUCUUAAGGGUUAAAGACAUGCCAAAUUUACAAGCUACUAAACAAGCUGUAAUGCCGAAUCUGCGCAGCACCGAAGCCCGCCUAGCCAAAGAUCCAAUAAAGUCAGAGGCAUACAGAGCUGAAAUUCAAAGACUGGAAGAAGCAGGUUAUGUGGUUGAAGUACCCGACGAGAAACUAUCGAAGAAAGAGGAAGAGUCAUGGUUCAUUCCCCACCAUAUGGUGAGCCAUAAUGCCAAAAACAGAGUUGUAUUCAACUGCUCAUUCUCAUAUCAGGGUAAGAACCUAAACAACCUGCUGCUGCCGGGACCAGCUCUGGGGUCCUCAUUACUUGGAGUGUUGCUGCGCUUCAGGGAACAUGCUGUAGCCUUUAGUAGUGAUAUAAAGGGGAUGUUUCAUCAAGUAAGAUUACUGCCUGAGGAUAAGCCCCUACUCAGGUUCUUAUGGCGUGACCUAAAGAGAGAAGAACUCCCCAGAGUCUAUGAGUGGCAAGUGCUCCCAUUCGGGACUACCUGCAGUCCGUGUUGUGCGACAUACGCACUACAAAGGCACAUCGUUGACCACAGUCAGCAAGGAGACAAUGUCCGCCACUCACUGGAAAGGUGUUUUUACGUAGAUAAUUGGCUACAGAGUGUUGCAACACCUGACGAAGCUAAAGAGCUGUUAGACACAGGGAUGAAUCUGUUGGCUGAAGGAGGAUUUGAAUUGCGUCAGUGGGCAUGCAAUUUUCCGAAUGUCAUUGAACAUCUGUCAAAGGAAGCCAGAUCAGAAAGCAGUGAACGCUGGCUUAACCAAACUGAAUCUGAUCCUCAAGAACUCGCUUUAGGAUUACGAUGGAUGUGCCAGUCUGAUACUCUGGGAUACCAAACCCGCCUUGACAACUGUUCCACCCCCACAAUGAGAAACAUAUACAAGGUAGUAGCAAGCCAGUAUGACCCUCUUGGAUUCCUUGUCCCCUACAUCACCCGAGCCAAGAUCCUUAUACAGAGUCUUUGGGCUAAGCAACGAGAAUGGGAUGACCCCCUACUGCCAACUGAAAUCCUCAAAACAUGGCAUGAUUGGCAAGGGGAACUUCAGCAUCUUUCCCAACUGACACUGCCACGCUGCUAUGUGAGUUCCCAGUUGGAUUCCCUGAACUGUAAGCGACAAGUGCAUAUCUUUAGUGAUGCCUCUGAGCGGGCAUACGGAUCUGUAGCAUACUUGCGCUCAGAGGAUCUAAAGGGAAAUGUUGAGGUAGCGUUCCUCACAGCCAGGUCAAGAGUAGCCCCUAAACGCCAGUUAUCUGUGCCUCGACUGGAACUUUGUGCAGCUCUCACAGGUGCCCAAUUGGCUUCACUAUUAGCUAAAGAGCUCACUCUACCCAUCGAAUCCUUUGUACUCUGGACUGAUUCUACCACUGUCCUAACAUGGCUUCAGUCAGAAUCCUGCCGUUACAAAGUAUUUGUAGGCACCAGAAUUGCCGAAAUACAGGAACUUACAAGUGCACAUGCCUGGCGUUACGUGGAAUCCAACAAUAAUCCAGCUGAUUAUAUCACUCACGGGAAAACUCUGAAGGAGCUAGCUACAGACAAAACCUGGAGACUAGGACCGGAAUAUCUGUGGAACUCACCUUGCUACUGGCCUGUUAUCCCUGACAUAAAUGCAAAGGAAAAUCCUGUCGAAUUAAAGAAGCCCACUUUCUGUAGUCACGUAACAGUCGAUGUACAGCCAUUGCCUGAUCCGCAACAGUUUAGCUGCUUUAAAGCCUUAGUUGAAGCGACAGCACUACUUCUGCACGGGGCGGCAGGUAAAGAUGGAGAUCUUUCAGCCGUGGAUUAUCAGUCAGCAGAAAGAAAUAUCUUACGAAAGGUUCAAAUUGACUGCUUCCCUGAUGACAUCAAUGCCCUAGUCGCCGGUAAACCAGUACCAUCCUCUAGCCGCCUCAUAACAUUAGCACCUGAAUAUGACAGCACAGUUGGGCUUAUCCGAGUGGGUGGGAGACUACGCCGCAGUGUUCAAUUAGAUGCAGAUGCUGUUCACCCAAUUGUUCUUGAUCCAUCUCACAAAAUUACCCAACUUCUCAUUCAGAACAUAGACAAAGAGCUUCAUCACCCUGGGGCGGAACGGGUCUUUGCAGAGAUCCGCCGUAAAUAUUGGAUUUUACGCGGUAGAGAAGCAGUUAAACGGCAACAACACUUAUGCCCUGAUUGUCAAAGGUGGCGAGCUAAACCAACAGUGCCUCAGAUGGCAGAUCUCCCACAAGCCAGACUUCAGAUUUUCAAACCACCAUUCUUCUCUACAGGAAUGGACUGUUUUGGCCCCUUUACUGUUAAACUAGGCAGAAGAAGUGAAAAACGUUGGGGCAUCUUGUUCAAAUGUCUGACAACCCGUGCUGUUCACAUCGACCUACUAAGUAGUCUUGAUACUGAUUCAUUUCUGAUGUCACUAAGGCGCUUCAUAUCCCGACGAGGAAAACCUUCAGAGCUAUUAUCAGAUCAAGGCACAAACUUUAAAGGAGGAGAAAGGGAGCUCCAACAGUCAUUCACAUCAAUGUGUCCCACACUGCAGAAAGAGCUUGCUAAACAACAAAUUAAAUUUCGAUUCAACCCUCCCGGUAGUCCCCAUUUUGGAGGAGUAUGGGAACGCGAGAUUAGAUCGGUCAAGUCUGCCCUGUAUGCCACUGUACAAAGACAAAGCAUGACUGAAGAAGUCUUGAACACUGUUCUCACUGAAAUAGAAGGAAUACUGAAUUCAAAACCUCUGGGUUAUGUGUCCACGGACAUUGCUGACCCCAACCCGGUGACUCCAAACAUUCUUCUGAUGGGGCGGCUAGACCCUUCACUCCCGCAAACAGUUUACCAUGAAACAGAGCUCUUAAGCCGCCGAAGGUGGAGACACUCGCAAGUGCUCGCGGAUCAGUUCUGGAUGCACUUCACAAAGCACUACCUACCCAGCCUACAAAUCCGUGGAAAAUGGCAGAGAGAAAGAGACCAAUUGCAGCCAGAUAUGAUCGUCAUGAUUGUGGACCCACAGUUACCUAGAGCCCUCUGGCCUGUAGGCAAGAUUAUUAAUGUUUUCCCCAGUGCGGAUGGACGAAUCAGAACUGCUGAGGUCAGAAUUAGGGACAGAACAUAUGUCAGACCUGUAGCACGCCUCAUUAAGCUACCAGCACUCCCAGACAUGGACACAGUUUCGAGCCCUUCUGAAUAAGCAAAUUUGACUGUGCAAAUUUGGGGGCGGCUGUUGCAAAGGGCUCUUUAUUCACCCUUCUUAAGGACUGUGGACUGUUGCUGCCCCCUUGUGGAAAGACUGAGUAUGUUUAGAAUGUUCCAGAAAGUCUACCAUACGUGUGUCAGUCGGUAAUAGUCUGCAGAGCAUGGAGCACAUGAGAAACGUCCUCCUUUUCUAGCGGUGUUAUUAAUUGUGUGCGUGCAUCUAAAUAACCACACACACACACACCCUCACCCCAACUAUAUGUCUGCUUAUACUAAUGGAAAUAAACCCAAGUGAGACAACAAGCAUCUUCGUCGCGUUUUGAUCAGACGUACCACAGUGAUUAAUUCAACUUAACCACACUAUCAGCUACAGUACACUG